ACAUCUGCAUUGAAGAGCUAAACAAAGGGAAAAUAUAGAUGCCAUCGAAACCCAUCAUUACGUUUGUGAUCUAGAUAAUAAAGUCUGAGAAGUCAAAUGCUUAGGGAAAAUGCCUACAUUGCACUUCUGAAAUUUCAGAAUGUGGCAUGACUGCUGCCUGUACGUGUGAAAAGUCAGGAUGAGAGUUCACAGCAGGUUGAUGGCCUGGAGAUGAAAAGUCUGUCUGAGGACAUUUCAAAGUUGUAAAGAUCUCCUUCAGUCACCUUUCCAGUGAAGUCACCAGCUAUCUCAAUAUGGAGGACAUUGUCAAAUUCUUCAUUAAACUUAUCUA
rnacentral:lncRNA from 1 species